rnacentral:rRNA from 1 species
ACUCAAAGGAAUUGACGGGGGCCCGCACAAGCGGAGGAACAUGUGGUUUAAUUCGAUGAUACGCGAGGAACCUUACCCGGGCUUGAAAUGGAGUGGAAUAACUGUGAAAGCGGUUAGUCAGCAAUGACCACUUUGUAGGUGCUGCAUGGUUGUCGUCAGCUCGUGCCGUGAGGUGUCGGCUUAAGUGCCAUAACGAGCGCAACCCUUAUCAUUAGUUACUAGCAAGUAGCGUUGAGGACUCUAAUGAGACUGCCACCGUAAGGUGUGAGGAAGGUGGGGAUGACGUCAAAUCAGCACGGCCCUUACGUCCGGGGCGACACACGUGUUACAAUGGGGGGUACAGAGGGUUGCUACCUGGUGACAGGAUGCUAAUCUCAUAAAUCUUCUCUCAGUUCGGAUCGGAGUCUGCAACUCGACUUCGUGAAGUUGGAUUCGCUAGUAAUCGCGCAUCAGCCAUGGCGCGGUGAAUACGUUCCCGGGCCUUGUACACACCGCCCGU